GUGAGGAAUAUUGGUCAAUGGGCGGGAGCCUGAACCAGCCAAGUCGCGUGAAGGAAGAAGGAUCUAUGGUUCGUAAACUUCUUUUGCAGGGGAAUAAAGUGCAGGACGUGUCCUGUUUUGUAUGUACCCUGAGAAUAAGGAUCGGCUAACUCCGUGCCAGCAGCCGCGGUAAUACGGAGGAUCCGAGCGUUAUCCGGAUUUAUUGGGUUUAAAGGGUGCGUAGGUGGUUUGAUAAGUCAGCGGUGAAAGUUUGCAGCUUAACUGUAAAAAUGCCGUUGAAACUGUCGGACUUGAGUGUAAAUGAGGUAGGCGGAAUGCGUGGUGUAGCGGUGAAAUGCAUAGAUAUCACGCAGAACUCCGAUUGCGAAGGCAGCUUACUAAGCUACAACUGACACUGAAGCACGAAAGCGUGGGGAUCAAACAGGAUUAGAAACCCCGGUAGUCCU
rnacentral:rRNA from 1 species